rnacentral:rRNA from 1 species
AGUUCGUGAAUAUGAUUUGUCUGGUUAAUUCCGAUAACGAACGAGAUCUUAACCUGCUAAUUAGUGGCGGGUACGUGAUAUUCUUCGAAGGUGGACUAACUAUAGCGUUUUUGAAUAUAUGCUGCAUAAUCAUUCGGUUUACCUUUUGUUUUUUUGCUUCAUAUUCUUUCGGUUUCGUUGGGUUUUUUCCCUAGUAAGGAUGUAUCCGCUUUAUUUAAUGCUUCUUAGAGGAACGAUGUGUGCCUAACGCAAGGAAGUUUAAGGCAACAACAGGUCUGUGAUGUCCUUAGAUAUACUAGGCUGCACGCGUGCUACACUGAUAUGUAAAACGAGUGCUUAAAUUUAUAUUUGCGCGUGGGUCAUGCCUGCGCGCGAUAUAUUUUUCCUCCACUGAAAAGUGUAGGUAAUCUUUAUCAAUACAUAUCGUGAUGGGGAUAGAUUAUUGCAAUUAUUAAUCUUGAACGAGGAAUGCCUAGUAAGCAUGAUUCAUCAGAUUGUGCUGACUACGUCCCUGCCCUUUGUACACACCGCCCGUCGCUCCUACCGAUUGAAAGAUAUGAUGAAUUGUUCGGACAAUUAAAUAAGUACAAUUUUAUUUUUUUGGAAGGGCCGUAAAUCCUAUCUUUUAAAGGAAGGAGAAGUCGUAACAAGGUUUCCGUAGGUGAACCUGCGGAAGGAUCAUUU